AAUACCGCAUAAUCUCUACGGAGUAAAGAUGGCCUCUUCUUGAAAGCUAUCGCUAUUGGAUAAGCCCGCGUCAGAUUAGCUAGUUGGUGAGGUAAUGGCUCACCAAGGCGACGAUCUGUAGCUGGUCUGAGAGGAUGAUCAGCCACACUGGGACUGAGACACGGCCCAG
rnacentral:rRNA from 1 species